UCUUCUUCUACCCUUAGUCACUGGCAGGGACAAGGGACGUCCAAAUUACUGCAUCUGGUCAGCUCGACGCAACCUACAUGGUUGGACCAGCCAUACAAAGCAUUGCGUCAGACACCAGUGUGGCUUCCAGCUGCGCCUGUUUUGUUCCUCGUGCGUCUGUUGGUACACAGACAGAUCCUGCAGACACAGGCACACAAGAAGGCAAUACAACAGUGCCCUGCCCCAGCACUCCAGGUUCAAUCGCCAUCUCCAGUCCGAAGGACAACCCCCCAAUUGCAGGCCCAGGACAGCCGUCCUCGCAGUUCAACUCGCAUACCACUUGAUGGUGAGGUAAGUGUCAGCAAUGUGCUGGAUAGGCCUUCUUAUGCAGGCAACAGUAAUGAUCCAGAGGACAGACGAGAUGGCCCAAGGGACUCUGACAGCAAGACAAACUCAGAUGACUCAGGUAGCUGUGACAGCGACACCAGCACCAAUGUGGAGGAUGAGUCAGCUGAGGACAGCAGUGACUCGGACAAGGAGAAGGACGGCAUGGAGGAGAGCGAUGCUCCUGGUGACACCAGCUAUGCACCCUCCACAAAU